AGAGUUUGAUCCUGGCUCAGGACGAACGCUGGCGGCACGCUUAACACAUGCAAGUCGAACGAGAGAAGAGGAGCUUGCUUUUCUGAUCUAGUGGCGGACGGGUGAGUAACACGUGAGCAAUCUGCCUUUCAGAGGGGGAUACCGAUUGGAAACGAUCGUUAAUACCGCAUAACAUAAUUGAACCGCAUGAUUUGAUUAUCAAAGAUUUAUCGCUGAAAGAUGAGCUCGCGUCUGAUUAGCUAGUUAGUAAGGUAACGGCUUACCAAGGCGACGAUCAGUAGCCGGACUGAGAGGUUGAUCGGCCACAUUGGGACUGAGACACGGCCCAGACUCCUACGGGAGGCAGCAGUGGGGAAUAUUGCACAAUGGAGGAAACUCUGAUGCAGCGAUGCCGCGUGAGGGAAGAAGGUUUUAGGAUUGUAAACCUCUGUCUUCAGGGACGAAAAAAGACGGUACCUGAGGAGGAAGCUCCGGCUAACUACGUGCCAGCAGCCGCGGUAAUACGUAGGGAGCGAGCGUUGUCCGGAAUUACUGGGUGUAAAGGGAGCGUAGGCGGGAUCGCAAGUCAGAUGUGAAAACUAUGGGCUUAACCCAUAAACUGCAUUUGAAACUGUGGUUCUUGAGUGAAGUAGAGGUAAGCGGAAUUCCUAGUGUAGCGGUGAAAUGCGUAGAUAUUAGGAGGAACAUCAGUGGCGAAGGCGGCUUACUGGGCUUUAACUGACGCUGAGGCUCGAAAGCGUGGGGAGCAAACAGGAUUAGAUACCCUGGUAGUCCACGCCGUAAACGAUGAUUACUAGGUGUGGGGGGACUGACCCCUUCCGUGCCGCAGCAAACGCAAUAGGUAAUCCACCUGGGGAGUACGACCGCAAGGUUGAAACUCAAAGGAAUUGACGGGGGCCCGCACAAGCAGUGGAGUAUGUGGAUUAAUUCGAAGCAACGCGAAGAACCUUACCAGGUCUUGACAUCGUAUGCAUAGCUCAGAGAUGAGUGAAAUCUCUUCGGAGACAUAUAGACAGGUGGUGCAUGGUUGUCGUCAGCUCGUGUCGUGAGAUGUUGGGUUAAGUCCCGCAACGAGCGCAACCCUUACUGUUAGUUGCUACGCAAGAGCACUCUAGCAGGACUGCCGUUGACAAAACGGAGGAAGGUGGGGAUGACGUCAAAUCAUCAUGCCCCUUAUGACCUGGGCCUCACACGUACUACAAUGGCUGUCAACAGAGGGAAGCAAAGCCGCGAGGUGGAGCGAACCCCUAAAAGCAGUCUUAGUUCGGAUUGUAGGCUGCAACCCGCCUACAUGAAGUCGGAAUUGCUAGUAAUCGCAGAUCAGCAUGCUACGGUGAAUACGUUCCCGGGCCUUGUACACACCGCCCGUCACGCCAUGGGAGUCGGUAACACCCGAAGCCUGUAGUCUAACCGCAAGGAGGACGCAGUCGAAGGUGGGAUUGAUGACUGGGGUGAAGUCGUAACAAGGUA
rnacentral:rRNA from 1 species